rnacentral:rRNA from 1 species
UAGCCGUAAACGAUACUCGCUAGGUGUCGGCCACGGUGCGACCGUUGUCGGUGCCGUAGGGAAGCCGUGAAGCGAGCCACCUGGGAAGUACGGCCGCAAGGCUGAAACUUAAAGGAAUUGGGCGGGGGAGCACCACAACGGGUGGAGCUUGCGGUUUAAUUGGAUUCAACGCCGGAAAUCUUACCGGGACCGACAGCAACAUGAAGGCCAGGCUGAAGACUUNCGGAUAGCUGAGAGGAGGUGCAUGGCGUAGUCGUGU